AUCCGCUCCUCUCCGGCCUCUUUCAGCAUCUCUGUGAAACCCAAAGAUAACCUGAUUAGGCAACAUCACUGGGAGUGCCAGCAGCUCAGAUAACACACAGCCUUUCCCGCUGGCCGCCGUGCAGAGCUACAGCCCUCACAUCAGGACAGCCUCACGGAGGGAGAAGAGCUCAUUGAAGCCGAAUCUCAGCGAGGCAGAGCUCGCAGGCUCUGUGCUGUCUCCUCCAGUGUUGACCUCACCUCGUCCCUGCAGUAUUUUGUCAUUUUGCAGGAAAACUGCAGCACUGUGAGGGAACUCUGGGGAAAGCCAUCAGCUUUUGGAAAACUGCAGCUAGUAAGGAAUGCUGUCAGGCCCUGCCUGAUACUUAAAGCACAAAACCCAGCAGGGAGAGAGGUAAUGGAAUUUGGAGGCAACUGGUGUUCAAAGACCUCUCUUGAAAUGGGUCUAUGCUAAUGACGAGGGUCUGUGCAAAUUGGGUCGAUGUCCCGCGUCCUCCCGAAGGGGCAGCUUCAUCAGGACAGCCAAUGUGGGGCAGGAUUGUCUCCCUGAGGAUUUCAUAGGGCUGCACCUUUGAGCCAAAACCUCAAAGAGUUUCUGGCUACGACUGACCCGGCCGGAGCAGGACACCUCUCGCCCCCCGAGAGUCACCGGGCGCGUGUGUGGUCUGUGAGCUGGGCACGGCCAGGGCACCCUCACCCCGACGUGGGUGAGAUUAAUUGCUGCCUCCUGACUUUUGAGAGGAGGAAUUUGUGCUUAAAAUCUCAGAGCCUUUUCCGUGACCUUCCUUUCUCCAGGCUGAGCUGAUGUGAGUCCUUGAUGGAAUUACGUUGGUGAAUUAUCACUGAGAUGCAGAAUUGAGUUUGGUGCCGGACAUUGUCGCAAUCCCUUUUCUGUCUCUUCUCUGGACCUUCAUGAAAUUUUAAAAACAAUAUAAAAAAAUAUUAAAAAUUGCAUGUUUGCACAUGCGGUUCUCAUUCAAAAUAUUGCCCCAAGAAGCUUAAAAACUUAAAGA